rnacentral:rRNA from 1 species
UAAAAACAUGUCUCUUAGAAACUAUUAAGAGUCAGGCCUGCCCAGUGAUCACUUUAACGGCCGCGGUACCCUGACCGUGCAAAGGUAGCAUAAUCAUUUGCCUUUUAAUUGGAGGCUAGUAUGAAUGGUCUGACGAGAGUAAAACUGUCUCACAUAUAUUCAAUAGAAAUUAACCUAAAGGUGCAAAGGCCUUUAUCUAAUAAAAAGACGAGAAGACCCUGUUGAGCUUUAAUCUUAAUGAGUAUUUUUUUUAUAUUUAUAAAUUUACUCUACUCACUAAGGAUUUUAAUUGGGGCGAUUAAGGAACAAGCACAAGCUUCCUGAAUUUAACUAAAAAUGUUCAUAAAUUAAAUCGAUCCAGCAAUGUUGAUCAACAAAAUGAGUUACCACAGGGAUAACAGCAUAAUUCUCCUUGAGAGCCCAUAUCGAAAGGAGAGAUUGUGACCUCGAUGUUGGACUAGGGUAACUAGAAGGUGCAGCCGCUUUCUUGUUCUGGUCUGUUCGACCAGUAAUUCCCUACGUGAUCUGAG